GAUGAAGAACGUAGCGAAAUGCGAUAAGUAAUGUGAAUUGCAGAAUUCAGUGAAUCAUCGAAUCUUUGAACGCACAUUGCGCCCCUUGGUAUUCCAUGGGGCAUGCCUGUUCGAGCGUCAUUUGUACCUUCAAGCUUUGCUUGGUGUUGGGUGUUUGUCCCUCGGGACUCGCCUUAAAGUCAUUGGCAGCCAGUGUUUUGGUUUUGAAGCGCAGCACAAGUCGCGAUUCAAGGCUAUCCGCCCGCUUCCACAAGCCUUUUUCACUUUUGACCUCGGAUCAGGUAGGGAUACCCGCUGAACUUAAGCAUAUCAAAAGCGGAGGA
rnacentral:misc_RNA from 1 species